GUCACCAGUUCUUUAUGGUGAAAAUUCCAAGGGACUGAGCUGAAAAGCCCUGUGGGCUGGAGGUCUUCUCCUUCUUCCCACGUUGGCACCAUUUUUCUAUUUUCCCACUGUGAAAUUGUGGCCUAGGUCUGAGAGUCCUGCAGGAACAUCCGCUGCAAAGAAAACAGUACUUAAACAAGACUAAUUACUUUAGUCAUUACCAACAGGGAUUUGGAUUUCUAGGUGGGAUUAGAUUUGACAAGCACUCUCACAUAUACUGAGAUAACAAGCCAGGAAUACAAAAAGUCAUGGCAGCUAUUGUUCAUUAUUGGAAACUGCAGGUUUGUACCAUUUAGAAAAAGUUAUUACUGGCUCCAAGAAGAUGGAGAAAUACCAGAUCUAUCACUGAAGACUGG
rnacentral:lncRNA from 1 species